UGCCAGCCGCCGCGGUAAUACGGAGGGUGCAAGCAUUGUUCGGAAUUAUUGGGCGUAAAGCGCGUGUAGGCGGUUCGUUAAGUCAGAUGUGAAAGCCCCCGGCUCAACCGGGGAACGGCAUUUGAUACUACUGGACUCGAGAGUGGUAGGGGUAAGCGGAACUCCAGGUGGAGCGGUGAAAUGCGUAGAUAUCUGGAGGAACACCGGUGGCGAAGCGGCUUACUGGACCACUUCUGACGCUGAGGUGCGAAAGCUAGGGUAGCGAACGGGAUUAGAUA
rnacentral:rRNA from 1 species